CAGCAGCCACGGUAAUACAGAGGGUGCGAGCGUUAAUCGGAUUUACUGGGCGUAAAGCGUGCGUAGGCGGCUUUUUAAGUCGGAUGUGAAAUCCCUGAGCUUAACUUAGGAAUUGCAUUCGAUACUGGGAAGCUAGAGUAUGGGAGAGGAUGGUAGAAUUCCAGGUGUAGCGGUGAAAUGCGUAGAGAUCUGGAGGAAUACCGAUGGCGAAGGCAGCCAUCUGGCCUAAUACUGACGCUGAGGUACGAAAGCAUGGGGAGCAAACAGGAUUAGAUACCCGCGUAGUCCUGUCUCUUAUACA
rnacentral:rRNA from 1 species